rnacentral:rRNA from 1 species
UACGUAGGGUGCGAGCGUUACUCGGAAUUACUGGGCGUAAAGCGUGCGUAGGUGGUUCGUUAAGUCUGAUGUGAAAGCCCUGGGCUCAACCUGGGAAUGGCAGUGGAUACUGGACGGCUAGAAUGCGGUAGAGGGUAGUGGAAUUCCCGGUGUAGCAGUGAAAUGCGUAGAGAUCGGGAGGAACACCAGUGGCGAAGGCGGCUUUCUGGUCUGUAACUGACGCUGAGGCGCGAAAAGCGUGGGGAGCAAACAGGG